AGAGUUUGAUCAUGGCUCAGGAUGAACGCUGGCGGCGUGCUUAACACAUGCAAGUCGAACGGAGUUUUUAAACGGAAGUUUUCGGAUGGAAGUUUAGAAACUUAGUGGCGGACGGGUGAGUAACGCGUGGGUAACCUGCCUCAUACAGGGGGAUAACAGUUAGAAAUGACUGCUAACACCGCAUAAUAUAGCGAAACCGCAUGAUUUUUGCUAUCAAAUAUUUAUAGGUAUGAGAUGGGCCCGCGUCUGAUUAGCUAGUUGGUGGGGUAAAAGCCUACCAAGGCGACGAUCAGUAGCCGGCUUGAGAGAGUGACCGGCCACAUUGGGACUGAGACACGGCCCAAACUCCUACGGGAGGCAGCAGUGGGGAAUAUUGGACAAUGGGGGAAACCCUGAUCCAGCCGACGCCGCGUGAGUGAAGAAGUAUUUCGGUAUGUAAAGCUCUAUCAGCAGGGAAGAUAAUGACAGUACCUGACUAAGAAGCCCCGGCUAACUACGUGCCAGCCGCCGC
rnacentral:rRNA from 1 species